UCGAAGUGGUUGUGUUCAACCUGGUGUCAUGGCUGUUUCGAUUAAUUUGCAUUGAUUAUUGAAGUGAAUAUUGAACUGCCUUAAUUUCUUUUCAACUAUUGAAAUGCUUUCUCUUGUCUGGGAUAUCUGGCAAGAGAUAAAUCUAGAACAUGAAAUCGACUCAUCGUUCAGAGUCAAAGUGAUCGUUAUUUUACUUCUGAUUAGUGAAGGGUUCAACUACAACUGCUACAACUUAUGAACAAGGGAAUCUAUCUCAUAAAUCAUAUUUAUCCAUCAAGCUCUUCUGUGCAUUCAGUUUAUGUUCCAUGUUUCCCAAACAGUUGAAGUGUUUCAGCCGUUUGUUAGCAUGUUGCUGCUGAUCAAGUGAAAGAGAUUCAUACUAAUCAAUGAACAUGUGUGCAGUGUCUCAAUCAAAUUCAGCCAACAAGCUUUCUCCCUGAAUAACUAAUUGUUCUGUUGAGUGCAACUUACAGAGUUGAUUGUUUCACUUUUGUGCUGAAUGUUUCACUUUUGUGCUGAAUGUUUCAGUACGUCAGAUUGUUCCUCAAAUUUUUAACCAUUACGGAAUAGAUGGCAUAUAAUCUCAGGAUCACACUUUUGUAUUUGGAAGAAGUUCUCGCAGGCUGCUUUUUUACUCAUUGGCAUUGGACAUCAACCACAAACUGCUAUCAGGAAUUCGAGAUCAUUGACAAAAGAACAACAGCUCUUACAACCAGACCUUUGGCUAGGAGUAAACGAACUAAAAUUGCUCGGCUUUGAGACGAAGUAGUUUACUGUUCGUAAAGUGCCAGCGGCAAACGGACCUAACGCACCAAAGAGUGCGUACACUGCGUAGCCCCUAGCCCUUCAUAACGCUCGAGCCUUCUUCCUUCCCCGCCACGAGUCAUUAAUUCAGUAAUUCUCAUUAACUUUAAAGGUAAGUAUAUAUUUCGUUUACAAUUUUCUAAUUCUAAAUACCCGAAAUAUAUUUUUUCUUGUGAGUUGCAAAAUAAUUUUCUAUUUGUUUUUCGUCUCAAACUCGGCAUCAAUGUUAGUGAGAUUAGAAGAAGAUGAUUUUUCUUUUUAGGAAAAAAGUUUUCACGAAUGAAUGAACCUAAUGGGACUGGAGGUUGGUUUCUCUUUCGAGUGGAACUUAUUACCUUUUUGGCACCUUCCGUAAGAAUUUCCGAUCGAGUCAGAGCAGUGAAGGUCAGCUAUUGUUUCCUAAUCAUUGUUUCCUGUUCCCGUCGAUUACUUUUCUCAAAGUGUUUCACAAUUUCCUUUUUUUUUUUCGUGACAAAAAAGCAAGAGUAAAAUACUUCGUUCUUCAACAGACCAUUGAACGGUACCCUAGUGUGCGGGUCGGUGAGUGUGACGUGAAAUUAGAAGGAAAAUACCAUAUGGCGUCUAAAAGUUAUCAUUUUGGAAGACGGAAAAAGAUUUUUAUUUGCACGCAGUUUUAUCUUGCAAGUGAGUCACGACGUGUUUUUUUUUAAAUCUCGUACCCUUUUUAAUCUGCCAUCUGUUAUUCUUAAAAUCUCAGAGCAUUUCCAUCGAAUGUUGUCAGACGCGGCAUUUUGCAGAGAUGUGUCUGACUGUUCUUCUAUUCAAAUUCUUUCUUCUCCGAUUAUUAUUUCUCUCUAAGAUGGGGACAAUUGGGGCCGUGACUGUUAGUAGAUCGCCCGUGGCCGUGCUGUCACAGCCGUUUUUUCAAUCGAUGUUAAGAGUGAAAUAAGUUUGCGACAAUGCAUUGUUAUUAACCAUAACAUUUCUAACACAUUUAUGGUUUCUCCUUAGUGCAACUGCGAUGCCUUGGUGCGUCUUGACUGAUAUUUCAUAUUUGAGGUGCUACAUUUUUUCAACCUUAGCUGACAUAGAAGCAAUGAAGGUCCCGAUCCCGAAAUUUCUCACUAGGUGCCGCCGAACAAGAUAACAACAAUGGCCGCUCCCUAUCAUGUUAUGUUUAUGUACUGUCUUUCAUAUUUCAUUGAUUUGAAAUGCUAAUUGAAAUUCUAUUUAAUUUCUUCUCUGUAUAGAGUCGGUUACUUAUGGUUACUGUGUAAAGUAGUAAGUCCCAAAGUGGGUAACUUACUAAGUCUGUACUUCAUGGUUCCUGUUCAGUCUAUUAGGCUAAAUUUAAUUUCACUGACUCCAGAGUUUGUAAAACUACACCCAUAUGCUGAUGGUAAUAUCAGGCCCACCAAGGAUCUAAUUGAAUUCCCCCCUAGGGAGGUCUACCUGAUACAGUUUGUGGUGAGAACAAGAAAUACUCAUGCCAUGCUCUUUUGGCUUUUGAUGAAGUGUAAAUCAAACCCCUUUUUUACCUCUGAGUGUUCGCAAUCACAUAAACCAAUCCCCAUGCGCCUAAAGGUGUCCCAUUUCAUCCAACCUAUGAAAUGGAUCAACCGACAACAAUCACAAAACAAAGAGAUCCAAAAAACGGUCUAGCAAAGCAAGUUUUCAAGAUCUAGCUGACAAAAAAAUGUAUGCAAAUUUUACUGAAUCAGCCAAAUAUUCCAUGGUGGAUGGGAUGGAGAAUUUGAAUAUAGUGAUUACAGUCCUUACUCUUCUAGUGUUUUUAAAGAUAAGACAGUCAGACAAAACGCAUAUUCGGACGGCAUCCACAAUUUUAAAUGCGUAAAGGACUCGCAGUAGAGGCCGCUGUCGAAGCCAGCGGAUUACGAAGCUACACUACACUACUAAACUAUCCAACCGACGGCUUGUCAACUCACACCUCUCUUACUCGUUCUCAUCUCUCAACACAGAACGGGGUUUCAAUCUUUAGAUUGUGUGGCUGUUUGUGAUCUGUGAUGGUGGUUUCUUGAGGACGACGAUGAUGUUCCUAAAAUUGCAUGACAGACUUUAUGAGAAGUAAUGUCCUUUCAAGAAAGUCAACAAGGUCCCUUGUUUGCUAACUCAAUGACUGAGACUACCCUUGAAUCUCCCGUUAUACUUCCUUAAACGGGCCCUCUUGAUUUGAGGGUAAAGGGGGGUAAUCCUUUGCUACUUAUCGUUAACUUCAUCAAUUGCUGUACACCGACGAGAGCAUGCUGUCAUUCAAGACUGAUAAAUUGUAUUGUUAGUUAGAAAGUUAGUUAGAAAUUACAAGUGCAUAUCUGGGCUCCCUUCUUUUCUGUGGCCCCGUUUCCCUAUCUAACCACUAACCAACGCCCGCCGGUGGUCAC